AUUCACUUACCGCGAGGAAUAGGAUGAAAUAAUGGUACAAACACAAAUGAAUUAAGCCCUGCAGAGCAGCGUCAACUGAAGACGUCAUGAUUUUGACAUGCACAAUGAGGGGAAGAGGGGGAAUUGAAUUUACCGUAACACCGGCACAGCCUGCCUUAGUUUCGUGUAGCUUAGUGACAUCAAUUUGUUGCACAGUAGCUUUAGCUCGCAUGUAGCAAUAUUAGUACUAUAGCUCUUUACGACCUCGUAAUUCGGAGGAUCCAGUGGUAUUUGGGAGAAAAAUGUACACAGGACAAAACGUAUCAGGUUCUGAACCUUUCUAUUUAACAUGGUGCAAUAGAGGCGAUUUUUCGAAAACCCUAUUCAUUCUGGCCAUAGAGAAAUAGGGCUUAGACCCGGCGUUCCUAAUAUGGGCAUAACGAGGACUACAGAAUGACGCACGACUACAGUGGUCUAUGGACCAUUUUUUUUUACAGCAAUGGCAGAUCGUGGAGCCUCUCAAUAGUUCCUGGAUGUUAGCAGCAAAUACUAGCAGCAUAGAAGAGCUCCAGCAGAAUAGACCGUUCGUGAUGCACUUUUAAAGGCAAGACGGAAGCCUGCUGGAGCGUGCCUGAGCUUCUUUCUCCAAGACACUCACUGUGUUGGGGAGCUCCAUGAGGGAGGAAUCAGUCUUGGUCCUAAAGAGUUCCUCAAUUUGGUUAAUGAAGUCAUAUGUUCUUGGGAGAGAUGACAAAGAGCGCCUGCCUUGAACUCUUUUAAGUUCACUAAGAUGCUGUUUUCUCCAGCUGGACUGUCAUCAUUGUGCUGUGUUUCAAUUUUGCAUUUUUCACAGAUGCUGGCAAACUUGAUGACUUUGUGGACGAUGUUAGCCUGCAAGAUGGAAGAGAACACAUUUCUCUGUUUUUGUGAGGUCAGGUGCAGCACUGUUCACUGCCAUCAGCUGUUCCACUCUGACUGACAGAGUGAUCUUUUGCUCCACUGUAUCCAAGAAGUCUGCCAGAAAGCUGCUGUCAUCUUCCUGGUAGCUCCCAGACCUGAUGGUGGUGAGGAACUGCCCCACAGAUAUGAUUCACAGUGUAUGAUGGAAUUCCACUGGAGUUGGGACAGGAUUUUUAGACCUCAUACAGCUGAAUGUAUUUUCAAGGCAGUCUUGUGUGAACCUUGAUGUUAACACAAACCUGUGUCCUCGUGUCAGCAUCUCCUCCUGUAUGGCCAAAAUUGAUAUUUUUGCCAUUAUUAUUCCAGUCUGAACAGGCUUCCAGCCUCCCUUUUGACCAAUCUUUAUCCCAUGGAACAGAUGGACGAUGUCUUGGAGGAAGGUGAUGACCUUUUGGUACUCCUCCAUCUUGAGCCUGCUCAGGGCUGUAAAUUGGAUGGUGAGAUGACAUAAGAUCAAACCAAUGAUCAGCUUGCUCUAGGAGCCAUGCCGUAGUCAUGUAGGACAGAGGGUGGUUUUCUUGUUGCACCAUGUAUUUCAGCCCAGUACUUGUUGCUUUACUGAAUACUUUUAGAGCAGGACCAACCUUCAUCUUCUCAAAGUGACUUGGUUCGAUGGCUGCAGCUGAUAGAUGGGGAGCUAUUUUUAAUGCCAUCCCUUAAUUUAUUUUUAAUGCCAGUCCUUAAUAGGAACCACUGAAACCUCGUUAGAAAGGAGCUUCUUUUUGUUUACAAUGUCCUCAGGAAUUCUGAACACCUGUCCACGGACAAGGGCACUUUUUAGAUUUUUUUACCAGAUGUGGGACAUCAGGCAUGAAAUAGAGCUGCCUGUCUGGUGUCGUCGGAUGUGGUACUGAGGUUUUUUUGUGGUUGACUCCAAAGGAUUUCCACAUGGCCUGGUUAGGGCUACCCAUGUCGGUGGUGACAUUAAGCACAUAUAGCUCUGUGGAUGCUGUCCUCUGUAUUAUUUCAAUUAUUAUUGGCCUGUACUCUGCUCUAUUGGUAGAAUUGCCAUUGUAAUGAUAUGCCAAUACUUGCUUCCACCGUGUUGUGCUUCCCACCAACAUAAACACACAAGCAUGUGUUGCUACUCCUUACCAGGUCACAUCACCAUACAGUUUGCCAGUAAGCAUGUGCAACUCCACACUUGGUGUGAUGGCCAUUUCAUCCAAGGUCAACACACACUUGUUUUCAAGCUCUGUCAAUCCAUCUACCUUCAGUUUUAGGAAAUCAAAGACCUCUGUCAACACACCAGGAUCGAAUUUAACACACUGCAUCCUUCUUUGUGGGGCUCUUAUUCCUGGCAGGGGAAUCUGCAAUUCCUGCAGCGUCUUGUAACCUGUUGGACUGGCAGCAAAGCAAAUUUUUAGUGCCUUCUUAAUUGUGUCAUUGCUCCAUUUCAUCCAUUUUGUGUUUAGUCUGCUUAAUGCCUUAAUUUGGUCUUUUGAAAAAGUUUUCUUUAAUAUUUUUGUCCCUAAUUUUCAUUGCAUUCUUGAGAGUGGCAUUUUCCUUCCUUAGUUUUCUAAGUGCUGCCUUUGCUUUAUUUGGUGACUUUCUCUUGUCUCUUUAAUUUUUUUUCAAUAGUUCCAAUUGACUGGCUGCUGGCUUACUGGGUGGUAUUAUCUCUCCCUGUCUCUCCUCACUAGCCAUGUCUUCUCUUUCUUCACUAUCACUUUCCCUUUCCUCAGUCUCCUCACCCUUCUUUCCUCAAUCUUUGAAACUGAUGUAUGUAGAAGACAUGUCACUUUAAAUUUUAAAAUAUUCAAAAUAGUCACUACUUUAAAAUUAGAAAUAUUGUUAUCAUUAAGAGUUCAUAUACCUGUGUCACCCACUUGUAACACUAUAUCUGUGAUCAGCAGCUAUAGGCUCUAUAUUUACAGGUCCAGUGGUGCAUCGUGGUAUAGGAGCCCUCCUCUUUUUCACCAUGGGGCGAUGCACAAAGAUGGUGGGAAUAGCAUCUGCUCUCAGGCUAAUCUUGCCCUUUUGGGUCUUGUCAAAAGGUCUGCCUCAAAAUGAGCCUGCAGAAUUAUCACAAGAACCACAGGUGCAUUCAGUGGAGCCUAAAGACUGCCUGCAAUGAGACAGCACCCUCACCCUGUACCAAUUCCCAUUCCCUAGGUUUUGCAAUUCUUUCACUGUUGCUUAUUUUUAAUAAACCAAACAUUAAGUC